UACGUAGGGUGCAAGCGUUAUCCGGAAUUACUGGGCGUAAAGCGAUCGAAGGUGGAAAGGAAGGUCUGGUGUUAAAUACCCACGGCUCAACCGGGGUGUCGUACUGGAAACCACCUAUCUUGAGAAAGACAGAGGCAGGUAGAAUUCCCAUUGUAGGGGUUAAAUCCGUAGAUAAUGGGAGGAAUACCAAAAGCGAAGGCAGCCUGCUGGGUCUUUUCUGACACUGUGCGAUCGAAAGCGUGGGGAGCGAAAGGG
rnacentral:misc_RNA from 1 species